ensembl:lncRNA
GGCAUCAAAUGCGUUUAUUUUUUCCAACUUCCCAUAUUACAGAAUAACUGACUGUUCUUGCAACAUUUUCUGCUUGAAUGAACAAAAUCAGAGCAUUGUCACCAGUUAAAAAAACUUUAAUUUAUCCGCCAGGAAACACAUUGCCCAAAGUGAUAUUCAUCAAAUUAUAAGUAUGGAAAUAAGGCAGACUCAUUGUGGAAUGACAGAAUAAAAAGGAAAAGGAAUAAAGACACACCGAGCCCCACUCAGAGUACCAGAGACGGACCUGAUCCCGGAUCAGCCCCAACAUGUGCCGGAGGCUGGUGAAACUGCACCUGCACACAUCUGGCAGGACGACGACUUUCUACAGUUCCAGACGUUUAGAGCUUCCACACGCAAUGUGACGUCCAGUAUUUUUUACAGGUAAUGUUGCAAUAUAUGAAGCGUUAUUUAAUUCAAUGAAAACAAGUGUUAAUGCCAGGAAGAAAUGAGACUUUAAAUGAGCGGUGAAGCAAAAUAUUUUUGUUUCUAGAUUCGUUUAAACACAUUUUUUAAAUAGUCCAAUUAGUUUAUUUAACUUAAAGGGACAUUUCACAUAUGUUCAAGUCUCAUAUUUACAUGCUUGAGUUAUUUCUGGCUGUGAUAAUCCCUUCUGUCCAAACCACCUCAAUAACUUCCUAAAGUAUGUUGGAGGCUUUGUCGGCGUCAGUAAAGUAGUUCUCUCAACUGUGAACUAAACUGUAAAUGCAUCUGUGCAUUGUAGACUAGAUGUUCUCUGCUUGGUUACACUGGUGUCACAUUAUUAAAGCAUCUUUUCCCUGAUAAAACAAACACAUUGAGCCAUGACAGGAACUCCCCCGCACUCAGGAGCAUUAAGACAUUUUUUAAAUAACUAGUUAACACGUUGUGCCUUCAUCCUCGAAAACUUUCUUCUCAAUUAGCUUCCUACUCUGAAUGAUCGCCGCCUCCGUGAAUAAUGUCUUCUGCCAAUUUUAGAGGCAGUUUCUGGGCUUAGUAGGAAAAAGUUGAUAUACAUACUUUCAUUUUGAGUAUCAAAACUCUUUCAGAAACUUUCGUCAUCGCUUAAAUGGUGGCACAUAUUUUGCCUCAUGGAGAAAUACUUUAGCAUGUCUUGAGGGAACUAUUCCUUAAUAACGCACACACAUAGUUAAUGACUCAACAGAAAAAUAAUAACUUAAUCAUUUAAGCAAAACUCUCAGAAUUUUGCAACACCCAUUUUAUACAAUGACGUGAAAAUAAUCUGCCAAUUGAAAGACAAUUAAAUGAAGCGUAAGUUGCAGCCCUUAACAUGAUUGCAAGUGGUUGAAGGAGCUAAGCGGGACACCUGAUGCCAGUGUUCAGGCAGAUGAAGGGGCACACAGUGGGGCUCAGUGGGGGGGGGGGGGCUUUUCAUUAUGUUCACACAUCCCGCACAGCACCAAAUAUUAAAGCCGUCAUGAGGCUACUGGUCUGCAUGCGAACCCCCCGAAUAAUCCCAGCGGGUUUCUACUCCUCGUCGGAUUUAGAGAUUCCCUUCAGAAUUGCGAUGGUAGGGAAAACGAUUC